GGUUUAUUGAUAAUUAUUUUAGAUCAGGCCUGCCCUAUGAGAAAUUAAAUGGCUGCGGUAUUUUGACCGUGCAAAGGUAGCAUAAUCAUUAGUUUUUUAAUUGAAAGCUUGUAUGAAGGGUUUAAUGAGAAAAUUAUUGUCUCUAUUUAAAUUGAUUAGAAUUUUAUUUUUAAGUAAAAAAGCUUAAAUUAGCAUAGAAGACGAGAAGACCCUAUAGAGUUUUAUAGUUGUUUUGUUACUAAAAUUUUAGAAUUAAAUUUUUAUAGGUGGGGCAAGUAUUUAAUUGGGGUGAUUGAAAAAUUUAAUUAACUUUUUUUUUAUUGGUAUAUGUAUUAGUAGAUAAAUGAUCCUUAAAUUAUUAAGAUUAAAAGAUAAAAUUACCUUAGGGAUAACAGCGUAAUUUUUUUUUAGAGAUCAAAUUAAAAAAAAAGAUUGCGACCUCGAUGUUGGAUUAAAGGUAAUUAUUGGCGUAGAAGUUAAUAAAUUUGGUCUGUUCGACCUUUAAAAUUUUACAUGAUCUGAGUUUAAAUCGGCGUGAG
rnacentral:rRNA from 1 species